CUUCUCUUCCGCCCUGACUGUGAGCUUUCUGAGGCCUUUCCAGAAGCGGAGUGAAGCUGCUGUGCUUCCUGGGCAGCCUGCAGACCUGUGGGCCAGUUGAGCCUCUUUUCUUUAUAAAUGACUCGUUCUUCAGAAAGCCAAGCACCAUAGGUUCUCACUCGUAGUAUUCCCUUAGAGUGAUGUAAGAAUGCCCUAACCAGGCUUCUACAGCAGGACAGUGAGGGUGACUAUUACAGCGAGCGUGCGAUAACACACACCACAGACUGAUAACCAUUGGGGCAAUAUUGUAUAAUGCAGCCUUCUCAACCAGAAGCAAUUCUGGCCUCAGGGAACAUCAGUACAUCUGGAGACACGUUUACUUGUUACAAAUGGGGCAGCGACAUGCUGCUGGCGAAUCGUGGAUAACGUCCAGGGACAAAGCUAAACGUACAAUACUCAGAACAGCUCUUCACAGCAAAGCAUCAUCUGGCUCACAAUGGCAGCAGGACUGAGGGUCCACUUCUGAGCAGGAUCGGAUACAGGGGACGUGUACCACCGGAAGAUGAGGCAGAGAUUGUAGUG
rnacentral:lncRNA from 13 species